rnacentral:piRNA from 1 species
UUACUCUAUUUGUAUGUGUGUCAGCUU